CCAGUAGAUAGGCUCCAUGUUGCUCACCGCCGUUCCCAGUAAAUCCAGUAAGAAUAUCAGCACAAAUCCCAGUUUACUCCCACUUCUCCGACACGCCAUUGCAACUCCACAGCCCCUAUGAUUUAACCCCAUUUAAAAAUAAAUGGUAUAUUUUCUAUGAGGAUGUAGAUGGGGUGCUGUCCAAACAAAGGCUAUGGCCGUGUAAGCUAUAGGUGAGUCACUCAAUGCGUGAGGAGGAAAUAUCGUGCCUUGGGCAACCGCAUGGAUAUAAAACGAAUAAUAGAGCACACAACGUAGUAAUUGACAACUACGGCAGAGAAAGUUGCUCUAGCUGUGUUCAAUGGCUUGAGCACCACUCCCCUUCUUCCACAAAACAAUAACUCCCGUUGAAUCGAUUUCUAUCCGGAUUUGAUAGGCGCUCGAGGAGAGCUAUUUUCUGUUGCGUGUUGGUGUUUCCUAUAAUUGUGUUUUCCAAACAAUGUUCCCUUGUUCUCUGCGCCGAUUCUCUUCGGUUUCUCUCCCAUUCCUUUCUACUUCUUAUUUUCUUUAGAGUUUUUUACUCCGAUAAAUAAAUUGUAGUUUCAGAAGAUUCGAGACAUGAGCGCAAAUGCUGUGUUUAAAAAUAGAAGAGGCUUUUCUCCCGGUUUAGAACAGUAGCUCCACCAGAAGGACGUGUUGAUGCUCGCUGGUCGGUGGAUUUGUCAUUGCACGGUUUGAUCCACACUGCGCGUCCUUUCUCUUCUCUUCCAAAAAUGGACACCCUUCAAUGGAUAUCAAUCAACAAAGAGUUAUACAGAGGAGGCAUACAAAGACUUCACCCUCCCUACACCUCUGAUGAAUAUAACAGGAAACCUGUUCGAUCACCAUGCACUGCAAAAUCAUUCUGGCUGUGGACAAGGAGAACAUCAGCACAUUAACAUCAACAUGCCAGAGGAUGUGUCCAUUGGACUUGGGGCUCUGCUGAGAGUUUACCUUAUUUCGAUUCUUUUAAACUUCUGCUUUGCCACUAAAAUCAUAAUAAACACGGAGA